rnacentral:rRNA from 1 species
UUCCAGAGAUGGAUUGGUGCCUUCGGGAACUGUGAGACAGGUGCUGCAUGGCUGUCGUCAGCUCGUGUUGUGAAAUGUUGGGUUAAGUCCCGCAACGAGCGCAACCCUUAUCCUUUGUUGCCAGCGAUUAGGUCGGGAACUCAAAGGAGACUGCCAGUGAUAAACUGGAGGAAGGUGGGGAUGACGUCAAGUCAUCAUGGCCCUUACGACCAGGGCUACACACGUGCUACAAUGGCGCAUACAAAGAGAAGCGACCUCGCGAGAGCAAGCGGACCUCAUAAAGUGCGUCGUAGUCCGGAUUGGAGUCUGCAACUCGACUCCAUGAAGUCGGAAUCGCUAGUAAUCGUGGAUCAGAAUGCCACGGUGAAUACGUUCCCGGGCCUUGUACACACCGCCCGUCACACCAUGGGAGUGGGUUGCAAAAGAAGUAGGUAGCUUAACCUUCGGGAGGGCGCUUACCACUUUGUGAUUCAUGACUGGGGUGAAGUCGUAACAAGGUAACCGUAGGGGAACCUGCGGUUGGAUCACCUCCUUA